GAGAGAAGAAAGGAGAAAAAAAGAACGCAACAACAAAGAAAGAAAGAAAGAACGAGAACUGGCGAGCAGAGUGAGCUGCGAAUGGAGCAACUUAACCUGCCACUAUCAAUCCAUAAAGCUGAAACACAAAGGAACUGGGACUUCUCCUGAACCGCUGCUGUUAAAGUUCACUCCAAUUCUGGGGACAACCACUUAAAGCAGGGACAUGGAAGAGUGCCAGAGUCAGAGAUCUUGGGUUAGAACACAUGAUAACCCAUGUGGGAGAGCACCAUUAAAAAUACAGCACACCCUCCGUACUGCAAUAAAUCCCAGCCGAAACGAUUCCUUACUUUCUGAGGCAGUCCCACGGGAUUGAGGAUGACUUUCUUCUGCUCCGGGGUUGUGGGUCCUGAGGUAACUAAACGGUCAAAGAGGAGAUCCACACCUCCUGCCACAGGUAACUCAGAAAAAAAGGGCAGCAGCUUUUUGAGAAAAAAGGAAAAAGAGAGAGACAAAUCAGCUACUGCUGUGGAGAGAAACAGAAAAGGACUGUUCUGCCUUUACAAACAAGUAAGAUGUUUAAUGAGAAUUCAUUUCCUGUUUUAAAGGAAAGGGAUAGAAUCAAUGAGACUUUUGAAGAUUUGAGGAGAAGUGUCACUGAGGUGAGCCUUGCUGGUGAAAGUCAGAUCUAAAAGAUUUGGGUUGAAUGGAACAAUUUUCAAAAGGCACUGAAAGUGAGCCUUCGAGGGAGUUUGGAGUAACUUUGGACUGGUUCUUGUAAGGCUUGACUUCUUCCAAAUAUACAGUGAAAGAGAUACAAGACAUAACUCAGUUGCACUAGUUAGCUAAUGCA